rnacentral:rRNA from 1 species
ACGGGAGGCAGCAGUGGGGGAUAUUGCACAAUGGGGGAAACCCUGAUGCAGCGACGCCGCGUGAGUGAUGAAGUAUUUCGGUAUGUAAAGCUCUAUCAGCAGGAAAGAUAAUGACGGUACCUGACUAAGAAGCACCGGCUAAAUACGUGCCAGCAGCCGCGGUACUACGUAUGGUGCACGCGUUAUCCGGAUGUACUGGGUGUAAAGGGAGCGCAGACGGCAUGGCAAGCCAGAUGUGAAAGGCAGGGGCUCAACUCCUGGACUGCAUUUGGAACUGUCAAGCUAGAGUAUCGGAGAGGUAAGUGGAAUUCCUAGUGUAGCGGUGAAAUGCGUAGAUAUUAGGAGGAACACCAGUGGCGAAGGCGGCUUACUGGACGAUAACUGACGUUGAGGCUCGAAAGCGUGGGGAGCAAACAGGAUUAGAUACCCUGGUA